rnacentral:rRNA from 1 species
AUGUGCUCAACAUGCUUGGAUCAUACAAUAUUCAUUUGCCCCUGUGAGAUUCCUGAUUCUAAAAAGCUUACUGAUGCAAGCAUAUCCGUGACUCAAAACAAAAUUAUCCCUGGAGGAAAUAAAGAGGUCAACCUUAUGCUCACAAAAGCACGCAGUACUCUUGAUGGGAUGGUUAAAACAUUGACAGGAUCACAUAAAAGAAAUAUGUGCUUUGAUGGGGAUUUCUCUCUUGCCAACUUCUGCCGCACGAGGACAGGGGACAUCAAACUGAUUGGAUUGGUACCUCGACCUUUCACUGCCAAUGGGUCAAAGCUUGACAGGAACAAAAUGGCUUACAUAAUAGAGCAAGAAUUUUUUGCUGAAGCAGAUGUACCUAUACCAAUCUGCGAACUUCUGGAUUUGAUGAAGAAUGGUGUCUACAAAGAAGAAGACCUGAUGGGAGACCACAUUUCAAUGAAGCCUGAAUUGGAGAGGUUAGCAGUUUAUCAGAUGAUGUACAGGAUUGUGAAGAAGUUAAAGAAGACUGAUAACAAGGGAGCCUAUAAGGAUAUUCUCGACAUAGUGAAAUCCCAUUCCUGCUGGCACGAUUGGUGCGAAAAAGCACAAGCAAAUAUUCAUCUCAAGAAAAUUUGGGACUUCAUUAACCCAGGGACUCAAAAACCCACAGAAUACCAUCCAACAGCUGAAAGUCUCCUCCACUACCUGGAUAAUGGCAUCAAACACUUGCCUGAUCAUUCAUAUGAUGAAGUAUCGCGGACGACGCUGUUUUACGACUUUGAGAUUGAUCAUAUACUAACAGGAACUUUUGGAGCUGUUCUUGAAGUUCUUCAGCGCGCAAUGUUCAGGUCUGGAAAAAUGAUUUCAUGGGUCUAA